UUUGGAGGAUAUAAGGUUUACUUCUAAGGAGAUAAAAAGCAAUUGAUGCUUCCUCAAAAUAAAAAAGUUGACUCCAGCCAUGUUUUUAUUUGUUGAGAAAUAUUCUAUAUCUACACUAUGGGAUACAGACUAACAGUUAUUUACCUGUCUAUUGAGUACUUGUCACCUAGGAGUCAUCAGUAAGUUGCAUCCAUUAAACAAAGAAAAGUCAUUCAACCAGCCAUCUGGAGACAACAUGAGCAAAAAAGAAGAGCAGGAAGCGGGCAAGAAGGGAAACUGUCCUAGAAAGAGAGUAAAGAAGACCAAAGUGAUCAGACAACUAAAUUUGCUCAAAAGCAUGUGCCAGUCCUAGAAGAUAUAUACAGUGGUCUUUUGGAAGUGGG